AGGGGGAACACCGGAUCUCCGUCUCUGUCCCCCAGCGCUCUGGGCUCUGGGGCCUGCACCGCUGGAAUUGCACUCCCGGGGCUGCGCAGCCCCCU
rnacentral:pre_miRNA from 1 species